rnacentral:lncRNA from 1 species
AUUUUAUAUUGUAUUAUUCCGUAAACAAACUGUUAACACACUUGCUCUCGAUUUCAAUACUAAUUUGGUUUCACUGCUGUAUUGUUUAGACAUUUUCUGUUUGUCCAUGGCAGAUCACUAUCAAGAGGAGACCUCUACUGUAUGUCAUAAACAUUAUAAUACCAGUAUUUUUCUUCCUUGUGCUGGAUAUGAUGUCCUUCUUCAUUGACGCAAGUGGAACAGACAAGCUGAGUUUUAAAGUGACUUUACUGCUGUCUAUUUCUGUUUUGCUGCUGAUUCUUAACGACACGCUGCCCUCUACAGCUGAUAAAAUCCCACUGAUUGGCAUUUACUGCAGUGUGAUUUUCAGUCUCAUUGGUAUCAGCAUUCUGGAGACCAUCCUUGUGACUUUUCUGAUGGCUAAAGGAGCAGAGAAUAGAUCAGUGGAAAACACAGCUGCUGUUAGUGGCCGAGAUGAUAAUGUAAGAGACCUGCAGAACUCUCCAGACUCAGUUAGAGAUCAGAAUGGGAUGCGGAGAUCACUGUGCUGGACCAGAGUGGCAAGAAUCAUAGAUGUGACUUUCUUGCUUUUUUAUAUAAUCACCAUUAUUGUGUUUCUGACCAUACUUGGGAAGAUUUGGCUUUCAUACUAAUGUUUCGUAUACAUGAAAUGCCACACAAUACUAACUGUUAUUUACAGUUUGUAAAUAGUUUAUAAAGGCAUUAAUAAAAAUAAUUAAAUAAAAAUCCUGCCAAAAUUAACUGGAGAGAUAUUAUGUCCUAUAUUAUUAUGGAUAUUAUGUUAUUUUUGUAUUCCCUUACAUGUCAAUUAUUCAUUCUUUAGGCACCUGCUGUCACACAGAGUCUUAUGUUGGCUGGAUUGUGGUGUCUGGUCAUAGUGAGAAGAUGCAGGGUUAACUAAUACCUUUAAUUCGUCUGCCAACUGCUUGAUCACAAAAAAAAAGUCAGUAAUAGAAUUCUUCAUGUCUCAGGUGACGUGCACCUUGCUGUAUUUAUUUAUGGCCUUAAAUUUGACCUAUCCUGAACACAGAUUUGUGGCAACUUAAUCCACUGGAAUUAAUAAUGUAUUGUGCUAACUGAAUAAUCAGUUGCUCAAAGAUGGAUCUAAGGCCCUAUUUAUACCUGGUAUUAAGAUGCGUUUUGUUCGAUCCGAUCACAAGCAGAUGAGGAAGACAAAUUCCCAUUUACGCCUGGUAUUUAAUCUGUCCCAUUUACGCCUGGUAUUUUAAUCUGUCUCUUUUGUCCAUUGUGAAAUAAGAUUGCACAAAAAGAGACAAUGGAAAACAAUACAGAAAACAGCAGCUUUUGAAAAGCACGCCGAAUGCUGUGGGUUUGUAUUAUAUAAUCAGGAGUGGUAAGAGAACAUUGUGCUUUUUGCCUUUUUUUGCUUUCAAACUAAAUCACAAAGUUUAAAUCCCGUCUGGCUAGUGCACUUAGCAACAAUUAGGUCAGUAACCAGAGAGGAGGUGGGUGGGUCACACCACAUAUUGAUUUGAUUUAGGUAGCAGAAGUUAAUUGCUAAAUAAAAGUAGACUCACUUUAUAUUGUGUCUUUAACUGUACUUAUUUGAUACAAUGCAUUUAUUGUGCACAGAAGCCAUGUAACUUUCUGUUGCUGUGUUUUUAAAUAAUUCAGUAAAUGACUCUGCAUAUGUCUCUUUUAUAAUUCUGGAAAAUGUGAUAAACUCUAGUUAAUGCUAGAGAUUUCCUGAUCGUAUCUAAUAAGUUUUUUAAUCUAAGAGAAAUUGCUUACAAUAGAUAUCUAAGUUCUGGGCUGUGAUGUUGCAAAUGGUUAUAUUAAAAAAACAUAUUUCAAAUUUGUAAACAAGCAUUACAAAGUGGGCAUCAUUGUGCUCUAGUCCUUUCCAAGGGCAGAGAACUUGAACUGAGUACUCUGAAGGUUUGAUAAGACUGCUGUAGAAAAUAAAGGUGAAAGAACUGUCUGAGAUAUUUAUUUUAUAGAAUAAAGAUUCACUCUUAAAAUUAUGUCUGUCAGUUGGUCAUGUUUAUGCAUAUAUACAGCAUCGGAGCAGUAUUUGGGUCUAAGCAGCAUAUCCCAUCAGUCAUCAUGUUCAGGAGCUGACAUUAUGUAUUUUAUGUAAACCAUAUGUGACCUUGGACAACAAAACCAGUCAUAAGUGUCAAGUUUUCAAAAUUGAGAUUUGUACAUAAUCUGAAAGCUGAAUAAAUAAGCUUUACAUUGAUGUAUUGUUUGUUAGGAUAGGACAAUAUUUGGCCGAGAUACAACUAUUUGAAACUCACAGUGUUCCUGUGGCUUAGUGGUAGAGCAUUGAGUUAGCAGCGCAAAGGGUUGUGGGUUUGAUUCCCAGGGAACACAUGUUAGGUAAAAAUGUUAGCCUGAAUGCACUGUAAGUCGCUUUAGAUAAAAGUGUCUGGUAAAUGUAAUGCUAAUCAAAAAUUAAGUUUUAAUAUAUUUAUGGUAGGAAAGUUACUAAAUAUCUUUAUGGAACAUGAUCUUUACUUAAUAUCCUAAUGAUUUUUGGCAUAAAAGAAAAAUCGAUAAUUUUGACCCAUACAAUGUAUUUUUGACUAUUGCUACAAAUAUACCCCAGCGACAUAAGACUGGUUUUGUGGUCUGGGGUCAUAUAUGUAAACCAUGAAGUGCACACUGUAUUGGUGCAGAGACGAAUGUGCAUGUUUUGUAAAACUUUUGCAACUGCUUUUUAUCACUUAAUAACAAACAUGGGAACUUCAGUUACAUAGGAACUUUUGCAUUGAAAUUUGGAUGUUUAUUUUAAAGUGCAAAAUAGUGAAAAAUAGAAUGUUUAAAUAAAGCUGUGUAAAAACUUUAUGUUGCAGUUUUAUAACAUGAUCAACUAUGCUAUGAUUUGAUUUGAAUGGCUGAAUGACUACUCUACUACAAGUGUAUACAGCUCACCGAAAUAUUUUACUGUAAUUUCU